CGAUGGAACUCGGUGUACCAAGUGGGACUAAAUUUCAUUAAAAUAUUAUAUUGAACCGUAUUCCUGGCAUCAAAAGUACAAAAAACGGAAGGAGAAAUUGAAGAGAAGUCUAGGUUCAAGAUGUCUAACAUCAAUUUGUCAUGAUCUUCAAAAAUAGAUAUUUAGUUGAUAUUGAAAGGACGCCACGUGAUACGAUGUCACGUGAUACGACGCCAUGACACCUUAUAUUUGUUUAAAAUAUAACUUCGUAACGAAUUGGUACAGGUGAAUUCUGGAUCUCGCCGAGUUCCUGGAUUUUUCUGGAUAACAUCCCUGAUGACUUCCUUCACGACUUUCUUUUCCUCCUAUAAGGCAACCUCCUACCUGGUUGUUGUGCAUCCUCCUACUUGACUGUCGGGAGAAGAUUUUUUCUGCAAACUGUGAGUCGCAUGUUUUAUGGUUCCUCUGGUGCCCAAUCAUGCCGUAGGACGAAUGGUCCAAAUCGGCACGGGUACUAGUUGCAUACGUGGUUUGGCGAGCAUAGUGACCAUGGGUAUGAUUAUACUCAUGUGUAGCAACAUUUUUUUUGUAUUUCAUUUAGUUCAGGCUAGGUUUUCUUGUGCUUUGCGUUUGAAUGUCUUUUUAAAUCUAUAUAUUCAAAUGAAUAAUA